rnacentral:rRNA from 1 species
UACGUAGGGGGCAAGCGUUGUCCGGAAUCAUUGGGCGUAAAGCGCGUGUAGGCGGCUCGAUAAGUCCGCUCUGAAAGUCCGGGGCUCAACCCCGGGAGCGGGUGGAUACUGUCGAGCUAGAGUCCGGAAGAGGCGAGUGGAAUUCCCUGGUGUAGCGGUGAAAUGCGCAGAUAUCAGGAGGAACACCAAUGGCGAAGGCAGCUCGCUGGGACGUGACUGACGCUGAGACGCGAAAGCGUGGGGAGCAAACAGG